rnacentral:tRNA from 1 species
GGGGAUUUAGCUCAGUGGUAGAGCGCUUGCCUAGCAAACGCAAGGGCCUGGGUUCGGUCCCCAGACCUCA